rnacentral:rRNA from 1 species
GACGAACGCUGGCGGCGUGGAUUAGGCAUGCAAGUCGAACGGUAGGAUACCUUCGGGUAUCUGAGAGUGGCGAACGGGUGAGUAACACGUAGGUGAUCUACCCUCAAGAUUGGGACAACCCAGGGAAACUUGGGCUAAUACCGGAUGAAAGCAGCAGUGAUGUUGUUUGAAAGGUGGCGUAAGCUGCCGUUUGGGGAUGAGCCUGCGCUCUAUUAGUUAGUUGGCGGGGUAAAGGCCCACCAAGGCGAUGAUAGAUAGGCGGCCUUAACGGGUGGUCGCCCACACUGGGAUUGAGAUACGGCCCAGACUCCUACGGGAGGCAGCAGUCGAGAAUAGUCUACAAUGGCCGAAAGGCUGAUAGUGCGACGCCGCGUGAACGAAGAAGCCCUUCGGGGUGUAAAGUUCUUUUAUAUGUGAGCAGUGCUUCUUAUAUUAACAGUAUGGGGAAGAGAUAUUAGCAUAUGAAUAAGCAACGGCUAACUCCGUGCCAGCAAGCCGG